AAACCAACAGGGAUUGCCCUAGUAACGGCGAGUGAAGCGGCAACAGCUCAAAUUUGAAAUCUGGCCCUCGGGUCCGAGUUGUAAUUUGUAGAGGAUGCCUUUGGCGCGGUGCCUUCCGAGUUCCCUGGAACGGGACGCCUUAGAGGGUGAGAGCCCCGUACGGUUGGACACCAAGCCUCUGUAAGGCUCCUUCGACGAGUCGAGUAGUUUGGGAAUGCUGCUCUAAAUGGGAGGUAAAUUUCUUCUAAAGCUAAAUAUUGGCCAGAGACCGAUAGCGCACAAGUAGAGUGAUCGAAAGAUGAAAAGCACUUUGAAAAGAGGGUUAAAUAGCACGUGAAAUUGUUGAAAGGGAAGCGUUUGCGACCAGACCUCUCCCCGGCGGAUCACCUGGUGUUCUUCACCGGGGCACUUCGCCGGGGCGGAGGCCAGCAUCGGUUUCCGCAGGGGGAUAAAAGCUCAGGGAACGUAGCUCCUUCGGGAGUGUUAUAGCCCUCUGCACAAUACCCCUGCGGGGACCGAGGACCGCGCCCUCGGGCAAGGAUGCUGGCGUAAUGGUCGCCAACGAC
rnacentral:rRNA from 3 species